ACGACGAUGGAGACAGACACAGAUCCUGGCAGACCAUCUGUGGACCAGAUGGCGCCGGGAAUACCUACCAUUUCUGGCUGACAGAAAGAAAUGGAGACAAGAGAGCAGAAAUCUGCAAGAAGGUGAUGUCGUGCUGAUGGCAGACACCUACAACACUCCAAGAGGUGACUGGCCUCUGGGCCGGAUCAUCAAAGUCUUCCCGGGAUCGGACGGGCGAGUCCGAUCAGCCGAAGUCAAGACUCGCAGCGGCACCUACACCAGACCCGCACACAAGCUGUGUCUACUAGAGGGCGCUGAUGACGCCCGGCGACUGGUGGCGUGUGUGCCGGCCCGUCACUGAUGGCGCCCGUCGCGCCCUGCUGCCGGCUGGCCCGGCGCGCGCUGCUGCCGCCGGCUCGUCGUGCGCUGCUGUCGCUGCUACUCACCUGCUGCCUCCGGCGCCCGCGCGCUGCGGCCGCCGCGCCCUGCUGCUGGUUAUACCCAGGCCGCCUGGUUGUGGGCGGCGCCCGAGCCGCUGAACCGGUGGCGGUAUCGGUCUUCAGAGAGACGCCGGAGACGCGACUGCUGCCCGUCAGUGUCCGUCGUACACUGCAUUCCGGUGAAGAAGAGAGACUAAUUUCAGUGAUUGAGACAAUCCGGUGUUUCACCCGUGUUCGCGUAAUCCGUGAUCGACUCGCCGCGCUCAGUGAAUAUGUUACUCGUGAUUAAGUGAUGCGUUUAGUUAUUGCGUUCAGACAGCGACGCCUGCUGAGUUAGCAUACCAGUGUGUAUGAAGUUGGGGCUAGUGGAAUGUUGCCUCAAGGCUCGCUGAUUCCAGUACCGUGGAUGGACCGCUGUGAGCUGCCGACUCUGCUCCUGAUGACUGCAGGGUCAACCGUACAGAUCAACCGACUGCCUCUACAGAGCUCUCCGAAGAAGUGUUAGCUGGCUGUGUCGAUCGCUGUGAUUUGUCCCACCGCUCUCAGAAGCACUUGUUGGACUCAGGUCGAUAUCGUGUUCCCGUAUGUGAACACUGGCGGGGGAGGGUGUUGUGACACGCGAUAAUGAUUUAGUAGCACUGUCCUGCGGCGCUUAUAAUUUAGUUGCACUGUAUCGCGGCGUAAACGAAACUCGCGCGCAAUAAGUGUAUUUUCGUGUUACGGACACGCGUCAGCUGCGCAUUUUCUUUCUUUUGAGCCUACGCGUGGCCGCGGAAGGGCCAGUGGAUACCUAGUUUGGCACAGUGCCAACUGCCAGAAAUGACCUGCUAGACUGUGACGAGCUCAAACCAUUCGGAACACCCGCGUCGACCUGUCUCAGACACCAACUCAUUUAUGUUAUAUUUUGUUUACCUUCAUUCCAUCAUGCCUGUUUUUAUUUUCUAAUACACAGCAGCACUGA